UAGCUUUGCCUGUUCUGGACAUUUCACAUAAACAGAAUCACACAGUGUGGGCUCUUGUGACUGCCUUCUCUCAGGUGACACAGUGCUUUCAGUGUCUCUUCAUGCUCUAACAUGUAUUGGUGCUUCAUUCUUUUUAUUGCUGAAUAAUAUUCCAUUACAUGGAUGGCCACAUUUUGUUUUCCCAUUUGUUAGAUGGAACACAACCCUACAAUAAACUCUCCAGCCAUAUGUAAAUAAUCGCCAGACUUCAGCUGCCUCUU
rnacentral:lncRNA from 1 species